rnacentral:rRNA from 1 species
CUCACCAGGUCAGGACACGGUAAGGAUUGACGGACUGAAGGCUCUUUCUCGAUUCCGUGGAAAGUGGUGCAUGGCCGUUUUUGGUUGGUGGAUCGAUCCGUCUGGUUAAUUCCGUUAACGAACGAGACCUCGGCACUCCGAAUAGCGCGGCGGACGUCGCGGCCUCCGGGCCGUCUUCCGCACGAGCUUCUUAGAGGGACCGUCCCCCGCCGGGGAAGGAGGUGCGAGGCAACGACAGGUCUGUGAUGCCCUUAGAUGUUCUGGGCCGCACGCGCAUUACACUGACGCGUCCAACGGGUGACUCCCGACCCGAAGGGGCCGGGGAAUCCGCAAGGCGCGUCGUGAUGGGGAUUGAACGUUGCAAUUGUUGUUCACGAACGAGGAAUUCCUAGUAGGCGCGGGUCAUCAACCCGCGCCGAUUACGUCCCUGCCCUUUGUACACACCGCCCGUCGCUCCUACCGAUCGAACGGUCCGGUGAGGACCCAGGACGGCGCGGGACCCGAGGGGCCGAAAAGGGCUCCGCGACCCGUGUCGGAAUCCGUCCGAACCUUACCGUUAGA